rfam:Delta proteobacterium NaphS2 ctg_1101087565902, whole genome shotgun sequence.
UGAAUCCCGCCCCGGAAGGCUGGCCAGCCACUGGGUAGUGAGUCCUUGGAUCGACGGGAGUAAUCCCCGAGAUUAAGCGUAGGACAGCGAGACGAUAGGCCGUAAGCCGUAAGGUUGAAGGGAUUGAGCCCCGAAAGGAUUAGUUGAGAGGGACGACGUUCUAACUUUGACGGAAGUCAAAAUGACCAUUGGCGAAUGGCAAGUCAAUGGCGCCUCUCCGGGGUCUGAGACCA